AUAAAAUUUUAUGUAAUGGUGAAAAAUGUCAGUCAGUGUUUUCCACAGCACAAGAUGAUGCCUUCAGAUGUCUUGUUUAGACCA